UUGGUAUCUUAGUGGCGGACGGGUGGAGUAACGCGUGGGUAACCUGCCUUACACUGGGGGAUAACACGUUAGAAAUAGGUGCUAAUACCGCAUAACAGGGAAAGAUGCAUGUCUUUUCCUUGAAAACUCCGGUGGUGUAAGAUGGACCCGCGUCUGAUUAGCUGGUUGGCGGGGUAACGGCCCACCAAGGCGACGAUCAGUAGCCGGCCUGAGAGGGUGAACGGCCACAUUGGGACUGAGACACGGCCCAAACUCCUACGGAAGGCAGCAG
rnacentral:rRNA from 1 species